rnacentral:misc_RNA from 1 species
AAAUGCGAUAAGUAAUGUGAAUUGCAGAAUUCAGUGAAUCAUCGAAUCUUUGAACGCACCUUGCGCUCCUUGGUAUUCCUUGGAGCAUGUCUGUUUGAGUAUCAUGAAAUCUUCAAAGUAAAUCUUUUGUUAACUCAAUUGGUUUCUACUUUGGUAUUGGAGGUCUUUGCAGCUUCACACCUGCUCCUCUUUGUUCAUUAGCUGGAUCUCAGUGUUAUGUUUGGUUCCACUCGGCGUGAUAAGUUAUCUAUCGCUGAGGACACUGUAAAAGGUGGCCAAGGUAAAUGCAGAUGAACCGCUUCUAAUAGUCCAUUGACUUGGACAAUACUUUUAUGAUCUGAUCUCAAAUCAGGUAGGACUACCCGCUGAACUUAAGC